UAUGCCGCCCCAGACCUUGAAGUGGAAGAGGGAGGGCAGCUAGGCUCGCAAUUCAGCCUGGUGCAGGCGGUCAUUUUGUCGAGGCAAACACUUUCUAAGCGUGCUUAAGGUUUUCCUACACAGAAGCUCUAAUGCUGCGGGUGUCACAAAUAUCAAGAAAAAAUGGGAAGCAGGAGCUGCGCUCUAGAAUACAGCUCUAGUGCUGCAAUGAGAACAGACGGACCUAGGAAAGUGUUAGCAAAUCGAUAGUCCCUAAGACUCUCCCCCUUCCUGCCUUAUUCCUCCCGGUUUAGACAAGGAUUAAAAUCUGUGCCCUUGAAGAUGGCUGAACUAAAAAUGCCCAUACCAGAUGGUCCAGGAGAAAUUAUUUCUUGAUAUCCGAUUUACAAGGACUGGAAAAAAAGUGGGAAAGCUUCAAAGGACUGUAAUUUUUUUUAAUUUAAAAAAAAAUGGCAAGGUGAAAUAAUUCAUAAUAAGGAAAUGAAUGAAAGUGAAAUGUGCAAUCUAAAAAUGUAAUCUGGAUUAUGCAUAAAAAAGUGUCAAUAUUUAAAGAACAAAGAA